UUAUGUGUUACUGUAGCAACCACAUUGAAAUUUGCUGUCUCAAAGUAUGAAUGGUUUUAUUAUGGCUGCACAAGGUGUUCUUCGAAGGCACCUAAUCCUGAAAAAGCUUAUGAAUGUUCAUGUGGGCAAAAAGUCGAACAGCCUAUACCAAGGUACAAGAUUGAGAUAUAUGUUAGCAAUGGUGAAUCAAAAUAUUGAUUUGUAUUCUGGGAUUUCGAAUGUGCUGCUAUACUUGGAAUGACUGCUGAAUUUAUGCAUAACUCUAUGGUGGAGAAUGGAGAAGAUGAUCCAAUGGUUUAUCCUGAUGAGCUUGAAAUGUUGUUGAAUAAGAAAAUGGCUUUUAGAGUUAAGGUGCAACCAACGUUUUCCCAAGCGUCUGUUUGGAAGCUUUGUGA